UCACAUUUUCCACUUAAAUUACUAUCAUUUAGGUUGUUAAUUACAACAGACAGGUUGAUGCUGUAUCCUGCCCCAAUCUUGUCUUGGGCUGGAUCUACCAUGUGCUCUUAAGUUUUUAAUACCUUAAUGAUCCGAAUGUUUUAUAAGAACAGUGAUGACUCACCAUAUGGAAGUCAGGAAACAGUAUAAAUGCUCUCACCAUUUCAGUUAUUUCCACCAGUGUCUUUUGGCGUCCCACGAUUUUUGGGGGUCAUCUUUUCCUGCUGUUGCUGCUUUCUGGACUGGAACGUCAUCUAUCAACUUUGGAGUGAUGGAUUCACAGCCACGGAUAAUAGUCCGUCCUAUUCCUGUUCCUAUUCCUCAUACUGUUGUUGUUCCUUUCCCCUGGAAACCACCCAGGCAUCCUCCCCUGUCUGUUGGAAUCCCCAUAUCGAUUUUGGAUGCUGUCAGACACCCAUACCUCCUGAGCAACAACCCUGCCCAGAGAUGUGAAGGGUUGUCAGGCCCUAGCUUUCCUUAUGCUUUAUCUGAAAUUCAUUUCCCACCCCUGAUGCAACCAAACUCAUUUCUUUACAAUCCCAGCACAAGCUCACAUCUCCUCGGGUGACAGCUGUGCAGGAUGAGCUGGUCCCUUCAUUGAAUGGGAACAAGAUCAUCACAGGAAUGGAAUGAAAUGGUACCCGAAUUGCACAAAAUGGAUUCACAGCAGAUUAUUGUAUGGGUGUUUGUGCCAGAAAUGUUGAGCCUCCCCAUCCAGAUAAACAAGAGUAGACUGGAUCUAUGAUUGCUCAUCACCUCUGACACUCAGACCUACACCUGGCUGCUCAAAGCUUCCUUUAGGUUUCCCUCCAAUUCUCUUAGAUAUGGACCUUUUUUCUUCCUUUCUUUCAAGGCAACCUGAAGACACUUUGACCAAAAUGCAUGGGAUCCCAAAUUCACUUAUCAUUCUUUGAUGGAUCUCUGAAUAUUUCUCAGGUCUGCAAGGUUUAUGGUGCUUCCACUUUGCUGAGAAGAUCUGUUUUUUCACUGUGUAUUUAUGCCUUGUCUCAUUUUACUCCUCAUUCAUCUGUCAUUUCACUCUUCUGCCCAAAAUGUAUUGUUCACCUGUUGAAGCUGCUCAUCAUAGAAAUGUUUUCGUGAACUCCUCUUCCCCCUGCAAUAAACCUCAUCUAUCUGCAUCAAAA